CAAUGGGCAGCAAGGGACCUGGUCGCAAAACUUUGCUAUUGGACUGAAUCUUGGUGUGAAUGUUCUAUAAAGAUGUAAAAGUGUUGUUUUCUAUGCUCGGGCAGACCUCUGCGCAGGUACCCAGAUUGCUAUUUUACUCCGUUAAUUUUUUUUUUCUAAAAAUUUUGCUUCCCAAAAGUCUACAUUGCACGUGGUUACGGGUCUGCCCUGAAAGUUUUCCUUCAGAGCUCUAAGUACAGUCCCCAGAGUGAAUGGGUAUCGGGAAGAAGAACCCUGAACGUCUGCAUCAUGACGGAUGUACUCAUCACCUGAGAGUUUGCCUCCGGAGCUUCAAAACACAGCUCCUGGAGCAAACAGUCCUCAGGGAAAGAAGACACCUAAGAUUUGCUUCGUGAACAAAUACAUGCACCUGGAAAGAAGGUAUCAAGGCAGAAAGUUACCCCUGGGUGUUCUAUUCCGUGUUUAGGAAGAAAACGAAAUUAGAGGAGUAAAAGAUUUAAAAUGCUCCAUGGAGUGCAUGAAGACCAAAUACAGGAGGGAAAAGGAAAACCAUGACGUGGUGUGUUUGUGGAACAGCCAGGGCUCCUCACUCUGGCAAGGAGAGAGGAAACAAGUUCCAUAAGCAUUGCAUGAAAAAGACAUGAAGUCAUCCAACUGUGAGAGAAAAGGUUUUGGUUGCGGUUUUUGGAGGAGAAAGCAGCCUCUGCACUUUUUGGAGGGUGACUCACCGGGAGGGAGCGACUUGCUUGAGAGAAGAAGCGAAGGCCACGACCCUUUGGGAAGGCACAGGGUGUGUGCAGCUCACUCCCAGUGCCGGACACAGCUGCCAGGACCUCCCCAUUGCAGGGAUGUGAAGUCACCAAGGGGGUGACUCCCCUCCCUUGCAGGGGGACAUCUGGGAGGGUCCUGUCCCUGUCCCUCAGCAGACAGAGCAACCACCAUACCCUCUGCCGCCCCAAGGGAUUUCAGUCAUAGCAUCUCCCAGACCAGACAUGUCUGGAGCUCGAGGGAAAGCUAAAGGAGCAUCAGAUGGAGAGGAGAGAAACACUCACCCAUGUGGCUGCGCUGGUGCCUAAGAAAAGAGCAAUCUGUCUCUUCACAGAUUCACUAGAUAAUCUCAGAGGUUGCCUCUUCCCUCAACAACCUUUGCAGGAUUAAUACAUACCUUUCUUCAACCUCAGAUAUCUCUUUGCCUGAAGUUUCUUUUAUUUAAUAGCUUCUUUGGAGUUUCACCUGCUUUUAUCCAGGUUCUUUUACAGAAAGGAAAAUCCAAGUCAAACCAUAUGUUGAUGGUUGGAGGAUUUGUUUGGUUUUCUGUUCAGUUCUCUUUCUACAGCCGAAGGUAGACAAAAAGCCCCAUUACUAUGCACCUUAAAAAUGUGCUAAUUAUUUUCCAAAAUCAGUAUAACUCCUGUCACAGACCAUGGCAACACUUGUAUCCUGGUUUAAACUGUGAUUCUAUUAUAUAUCCUAAUUUGCAUGGCCUUUUUCUGCCAUUUAUAUGUAGACUGGCAUGUCAGUUUAAUCUGUUUUAAGGAGAUGGAGCCAUAAGAAUAAGUGUCUCGUCUAAAACUUGAAUAUCUCAACAGUUUCAAGGACCAACCCCGGUAUCUCUAGAGCUGCAGUUUUAAUUUAUCCGGAGAGGCUUCCCUUUCCCAAUCUGCAUUUAAGUGAAGGCUAACUACUUCUACUUCAAGAAAAUGUAAUUAGAGAAAAAAAAAAGAGAUGCCUUGAAAAAUGCACUGUUGGUCAUACAGAACAGUGUUUUUCUUUCCCAAGAUUAUACAAAUGGUCAACGGCUUUAGGGAAAAGUCUCACCUUUGGUGAGCGAUCUGCAGCUCUUCUCUAGUCUCCCCAAGGCAAUUCUUUUCCCAUGGACCAUGACCUGUGUGACUGCUCCAACUGUCCCUUGUCUCACCAAGUUCUUCCUCACUCUGGGCAUGUCAGAGCUGUGCACCAGGGAGGUGUUUUGUGUAAACACACCUCAGAUGUGUCCACAGGUUAAACAAGGCACAGCCUGUCCUGAGUGCACUCAUUGUGCUCAAUAAAGUCACCCUGGGAUAAAGUCUCCACCCCUUUGCUAUUCAAAUUCCACCUCCUGCCUCCCUUUUCCUGUGAACUGUCAACUCCAUGUCUGCACUGCAAGCAGAAGGUCCUUAAAAUCCACCAGCAAGCUUCAGAAUUUGGUAGCUCAGGUCUACAACAGCGCAGCUGUGCUAGACAAGAUCAGUGUUUCUAAAGUAAAUCUCUGGGCUCACCUGUGCCCCUUAAAAUCACACAGUUAAAAAAGGACAGUCUUGUUUUCUUUGGCCAUAAAUCACAUCAGCAUCCACACUCACCCUCAUUCCCACGCUCACAGUAUCACAGUAUCAUAGGAUGUCAGGGAUUGGAAGGGACCUCAAAGGACCAUCUAGUCCAAUCCCCCUGCUGGAGCAGGAACGCCUAGGUGAGGUCGCACAGGAACAUGUCCAGGUGGGUUUUGAAUGUCUCCAGAGCAGGAGACUCCACAACCUCCCCGGGCAGCCUGUUCCAGUGUCUGUCACCCUCAUUGUGAAGAAGUUUUUUCUCAAAUUUAAGCAGAACCUCUUGUGUUCCAGCUUGAUCCCAUUACCCCUUGUCCUCACUGCACAACGCACAGGCUGCCGUUCUGAACGUGUCCGCACUCUCAGCAGGAGACUCACAGGGGUCAUUCAAACCACCCACAUCCCCACUAAUACAACUUUUUGGGCAGGAAACGUGAAACUCCUAAACGUGCUUUGUGAUCAGUGCUGAAUUUCCACAGGAAAGGCCAAACUCCUUUGAAAGUGCUGGAUUUCACAAGCAGAGAGAUAUCCAAAGCUGGUGUAACUCCUGUCCUUGAUCCCCUAUGGCAAACCUGGGUGACUAAAUGUCCAGGUUUGUUGCUUAUUUUUAAUAAUUAUAUGCUUUUCUCUUUCACUGUGCAAAAGUGUUAAGAAAAGUGUUCAUCGUAACAAUAUAAUUCUAACAAUAAUCACAACAAUAUGAUUGUAAUAUAAUCAUAACAAUAUGAUUUUACUGAAAUAACUGUAAAGCAAGCGCUCUGUAAGGAAUCAAUGUAGGGAGCAGAGAUAACAUUUCUCUAAUCUUGUGGCAACGUCUGUGUACCUUGUGUAAUAGCUGUAGUAGCUAGUAGAAAUAUGGUUUUAGGCCAACUGCACUUUGGAAAGAAGUAAAAAUGGAAGGUGGUGCUGGGAAUAACAUUAAAUACCUAGAUUAAAUACCACUUUCCUAUUCUGUUUCUAAAAUUCUCUGCUUCAAACUCUUAACAAAUCCAGAACUCCUGUCCAUUGACUCAUCCAAGGCCAUCAUUCUUCUCUGCCUGUAAGAAAAUCAGUUCUUUACGUGUAGCCUUGCUGUGGUGGAUGCACUUGACCCCCCCCCAGCCAAACCAGCUGCAGUUUGGUCCAGGCUCCAGAGGAGGGAAAGGCCUGAGCCCCAGCCAGGCCAAGAACUCCCGCCGGGAGACCCGCAGGGAAGCAGAACAGCAACUGAACGCCGGUGGCUUGUGGGUGCAGGGAGUCUUGUGUAUGCAAUUUGACUAUGAGUCAACCACUUCAUUCUAUAAAUACAACAGCCUGGAUGAGCCACUUUGAGCUCUCCCUGCUAAAUAAGUCAGCUGUAUGGCAAUGGUUUUACUACUCACAGGUCAGUGGAUGAGCCCAAUUCAAGUUCAACGUUGAUCAUUUAGCUUAAGUAGAUACACACCAAAUGUAAUGGAUUAUUUAGAGAGAUAAGGUUGUAUGAUUUUUAGUGUACUCUUUGAUUCAUGUUACUUAGUAGACUAGAUUUGUUAAAAUUUUAAGCUGUAAGGUCCUGCUUGUAUUCACCAAAAGCAACUGCAGACUACACUAAAUGUCUGCAAGAUAAAGUCUAGCUUGUAUUUUGCUGGAAAAAAUGUAACUGACUGGGAAAACAACGAUCCAAGGCUAACACAGAGACAUCACAGAUAUCUGCAAAGUGGGAUCUAUUCUGCACCUCGCUGAGAAGAAAGAACUUAUCUUGGCAAAACAGCACCCUCAAGGAUAUGGACUAAAAAUAAUGUCUACAACUGAACAAAACAAAGGCUCACGUGGAGUCAGAGUAAAAUGGUCCAAUGGGGAGCAAGGGACCUGGUGGUGAAAUUUCCUUUUGGACUGGAUCUUGGUAUGAAUGGUCUGUAAAGAUAUAAAAGUUUGUAGUUUUCUAUGCUUGGGCAGACCUCUGCACAGGUGCCCAGCUUGAGCCAGCCCUUCUGCUAAUCUACUCCAUUAAAUUUUUUAUUUUCUGAGAAUCGUGUCUCCUGAAAGUCUGCUCUGCAUGUGGUCAUAAGGCCUUUCCUGAAAGUUUGCUGCACGAGUUCUAAAAUACAGACUCUGGAGCGAAUGCUUAUCAGGGAGAGAGGAAUCCUGACAGUUUGCACUGUGACGGAUACGGCCUCGCCUGAAAGUUUGUCUCCAGAGCUCCAAGACACAGCCCCUGGAGCGAAUGGUUAUCAAAGAGGGAAGACGCCUGAAAGUUUGCUUUGUGAACGGGGACAGGCACCUGGAGAGAAGGUAAGCAGCAUUCGGCUUGGCAUAUUUCCUCCAUGCAGCAAAUAAUAGAGUGAACCUGCCACCGAAUUCUUUUAAGUCCCGCUUCUCUUUAAGAAAUCUAAACAUUGUUCUGCAGCAAGCAGAACCCCUGCGACACUUGCCAGUUAAGUUCUCAGAGACAGUUUCAUUUCUCCAGGCUUACGCUGUAGGAUGCACAGCCGGGGCCUUCGGUUGAGCCGUUAGAAAUGCUGGUGAAGUUCUUCUCAGAAACGAAAUUUCUAAACUCUGCCCUCUCAGGUAAUAUUCUGCUGCCUGUAGCAUCAUUUCAGGGAAAUACACAUGUUGCAAAUCUCUGAGCUGCCCCAUUAUGUUUACUUUUCUG